rnacentral:rRNA from 1 species
CAGGGCGGCAGCUACACAUGCAGUCGAGCGAGAACUUCGGUUCUAGCGGCGGACGGGUUAGUAACGCGUGGGAACGUGCCCUUCACUACGGAAUAGUCCCGGGAAACUGGGUUUAAUACCGUAUACGCCCUUCGGGGGAAAGAAUUUCGGUGAAGGAUCGGCCCGCGUUAGAUUAGAUAGUUGGUGGGGUAACGGCCUACCAAGUCUACGAUCUAUAGCUGGUUUUAGAGGAUGAUCAGCAACACUGGGACUGAGACACGGCCCAGACUCCUACGGGAGGCAGCAGUGGGGAAUCUUAGACAAUGGGCGCAAGCCUGAUCUAGCCAUGCCGCGUGAGUGAUGAAGGCCUUAGGGUCGUAAAGCUCUUUCGCCAGGGAUGAUAAUGACAGUACCUGGUAAAGAAACCCCGGCUAACUCCGUGCCAGCAGCCGCGGUAAUACGGAGGGGGUUAGCGUUGUUCGGAAUUACUGGGCGUAAAGCGCGCGUAGGCGGAUUGGAAAGUUGGGGGUGAAAUCCCAGGGCUCAACCCUGGAACUGCCUCCAAAACUAUCAGUCUAGAGUUCGAGAGAGGUGAGUGGAACUCCGAGUGUAGAGGUGAAAUUCGUAGAUAUUCGGAAGAACACCAGUGGCGAAGGCGGCUCACUGGCUCGAUACUGACGCUGAGGUGCGAAAGUGUGGGGAGCAAACAGGAUUAGAUACCCUGGUAGUCC